GACAGAGGGGGCAAGCGUUGCUCGGAAUCACUGGGCGUAAAGGGCGCGUAGGCGGGAUGGUAAGUCGGUCGUGAAAUCCUUCGGCUCAACCGAAGAACGUCGGCCGAUACUGCCGUUCUUGAGGGAUGCAGAGGAGAUUGGAAUUCCCGGUGUAGCGGUGAAAUGUGUAGAGAUCGGGAGGAACACCGGUGGCGAAGGCGGGUCUCUGGGCAUCUCCUGACGCUGAGGCGCGAAAGCUAGGGGAGCAAACGGG
rnacentral:rRNA from 1 species